rnacentral:rRNA from 1 species
CCUACGGGAGGCAGCAGUGAGGAAUAUUGGUCAAUGGGAGAGAUCCUGAACCAGCCAAGCCGCGUGAGGGAAGACGGCCCUAUGGGUUGUAAACCUCUUUUGUCGGAGAACAAAACCCGGGACGUGUCCCGGACUGCGUGUAUCCGACGAAAAAGCAUCGGCUAACUCCGUGCCAGCAGCCGCGGUAAUACGGAGGAUGCGAGCGUUAUCCGGAUUUAUUGGGUUUAAAGGGUGCGUAGGCGGUCCGUUAAGUCAGCGGUAAAAUUGCGGGGCUCAACCCCGUCGAGCCGUUGAAACUGGCAGACUGGAGUGGGCGAGAAGUACGCGGAAUGCGCGGUGUAGCGGUGAAAUGCAUAGAUAUCGCGCAGAACUCCGAUUGCGAAGGCAGCGUACCGGCGCCAGACUGACGCCGAGGCACGAAAGCGUGGGGAUCGAACAGGAUUAGAUACCCUUGUAGUC